AAUUAUUUAAUCAAUAUUAUUUUGUGAACUCAGUCAGGUCUGGAAAGAAGCAGCUGUAACAAAUAUAAUAUGUGAAAAAAAUAAUUGCG
rnacentral:SRP_RNA from 1 species